rnacentral:rRNA from 1 species
CCUGUCAGCCAUAUCACCAAGCUGAGCCUGGUCAGUACCUAGAUGGGGGAUCACAUGGGAAAAAUAGGUUGCUGUUGGAA